UUGAGCAGCAAGGUGCUGUCUCCUUUGGAUCUUUUUGCGGUCUGGGCUUGCUGUUUCUUGCAACGGUAGUCAGGAAGCCCUUACCCCAAAAAGUAUCUACGGGAGGCCAGGUCCACCGCAGAGACC
rnacentral:pre_miRNA from 13 species